rnacentral:rRNA from 1 species
AUUGAACGCUGGCGGAAUGCUUUACACAUGCAAGUCGAACGGUAGAGGGGGCAACCCCUCGAGAGUGGCGAACGGGUGAGUAAUAUAUCGGAACGUGCCCAGUCGUGGGGGAUAACGUAGCGAAAGUUACGCUAAUACCGCAUACGAUCUAAGGAUGAAAGCGGGGGAUCGCAAGACCUCGCGCGAUUGGAGCGGCCGAUAUCAGAUUAGGUAGUUGGUGGGGUAAAGGCUCACCAAGCCAACGAUCUGUAGCUGGUCUGAGAGGACGACCAGCAACACUGGAACGGAGACACGGUCCAGACUCCUACGGGAGGCAGCAGUGGGGAAUUUUGGACAAUGGACGCAAGUCUGAUCCAGCCAUUCCGCGUGCAGGAUGAAGGCCCUCGGGUUGUAAACUGCUUUUGUACGGAACGAAAAGGUCUCUCUUAAUACGGGGGACUCAUGACGGUACCGUAAGAAUAAGCACCGGCUAACUACGUGCCAGCCGCCGCGGUAA